rnacentral:rRNA from 1 species
GAUGAACGCUAGCGACAGGCUUAACACAUGCAAGUCGAGGGGUAACAGGGGAGCUUGCUCCCGCUGACGACCGGCGCACGGGUGCGUAACGCGUAUACAACCUGCCUCAAAGCGAGGGAUAACCCAGAGAAGUUUGGACUAAUACCUCAUAGUAUAUAUUAGAGGCAUCUUUGAUAUAUUAAAGAUUUAUUGCUUUGAGAUGGGUAUGCGUAUGAUUAGUUAGUUGGUAAGGUAACGGCUUACCAAGGCUACGAUCAUUAGGGGUUCUGAGAGGAAGGUCCCCCACACUGGUACUGAGACACGGACCAGACUCCUACGGGAGGCAGCAGUGAGGAAUAUUGGUCAAUGGGCGAGAGCCUGAACCAGCCAAGUCGCGUGAAGGAAGACGGUCCUAUGGAUUGUAAACUUCUUUUGUACAGGAGUAAAGUGAGUUACGAGUAACUUUUUGCAAGUACUGUACGAAUAAGCAUCGGCUAACUCCGUGCCAGCAGCCGCGGUAAUACGGAGGAUGCGAGCGUUAUCCGGAUUUAUUGGGUUUAAAGGGUGCGCAGGCGGUAUUACAAGUCAGAGGUGAAAUCUUGGUGCUUAACAUUAAAAUUGCCUUUGAAACUGUAGUACUUGAGUGUAAAAGAGGUAGGCGGAAUGUGUUGUGUAGCGGUGAAAUGCUUAGAUAUAACACAGAACACCGAUUGCGAAGGCAGCUUACUAUAAUACAACUGACGCUCAUGCACGAAAGCGUGGGGAUCAAACAGG